GUGAGGGUGAUCUGGCUGUGACAUCCCUUAUCCCCUUAUCUUCAAGGGUGAUUUGGUUGAUCUGGCUGUCUAGAUAGUAGUCACUUCCCUCCCUCUCC
rnacentral:sRNA from 1 species